AACGUAGGACGCAAGCGUUAUCCGGAAUUACUGGGCGUAAAGCGCGUGUAGGUGGUUGCAUAAGUCACUGUUGAAAGCUCCCGGCUAAACUGGGAGAGGUGCGGUGAGACUGUGUGGCUAGAGUGUGGAAGAGGGGUGCAGAAUUCCGGGUGUAGUGGUGAAAUGCGUAGAUAUCUGGAGGAACACCGGUGGCGAAGGCGGCAUCCUGGACCAACACUGACGCUGAGGAGCGAAAGCCAGGGGAGCAAACGGG
rnacentral:rRNA from 1 species